CGGCAACAGCUCAAAUUUGAAAUCUGGCCUUUGGUCCGAGUUGUAAUUUGUAGAGGAUGUUUCGGGUACCGCCUCGGUCUAAAUUUCUUGGAACAGAAUGUCAAAGAGGGUGAGAAUCCCGUCUUGGACCGGUGGUAGGGCCUAUGUGAAACUCCUUCGAC
rnacentral:rRNA from 1 species